rnacentral:rRNA from 1 species
GGGUACAAGCGUUAAUCGGAAUUACUGGGCGUAAAGCGUGCGUAGGUGGUUUGUUAAGUCAGAUGUGAAAGCCCCGGGCUCAACCUGGGAACUGCAUUUGAAACUGGUAAACUAGAGUAUAGGAGAGGAAAGUGGAAUUUCUGGUGUAGCGGUGAAAUGCGUAGAUAUUACAAGGAACAUCAAUGGCGAAGGCAGCUUUCUGGACUAAUACUGACACUGAGGUACGAAAGCGUGGGUAGCAAACAGGAUUAAAUACCCUGGUAGUCCACGCCGUAAACGAUGAUAACUAGUCGUUGAGGGGGAUUACCCUUUAGUGGCGAAGCUAACGCGUUAAGUUAUCCGCCUGGGGAGUACGGCCGCAAGGUUAAAACUCAAAGGAAUUGACGGGGACCCGCACAAACGGUGGAGCAUGUGGUUU